rnacentral:misc_RNA from 1 species
AAGGAGCAUCUAGCUGCCACAAGGCAGCAGGCCACAACGUCGGCGAACGUCCGACGGUGGUGCUCAUGGUGGAACGUUGAUUAUUCGGCACUUUCAGUCAUCUCGGGCUGCCAGUACUGCUCUUCGGAGCGUGAACGCUGAUCACGAGUGGCGAGGGUGUCGGGCACGCUGUUGGGUGUCUGAGGGAAUGAACUUCCUUCAGUGCCGGCCCCAGUGCACUCGAACCGCUGGUUCGGGGUGAUGGGUGGUUGGUCGUUG